CUUAGAAGAACCAUGGAGAGAUAUGUCAGAGGACAGAAGUUUGGAGAAGGCUCAUUCGGAAAAGCCGUUCUUGUUAAAUCCACAGAAGAUGGCAGGCAGUGUGUUAUCAAUGAAAUUAACAUCUCAAGGGUGUCCAAUAAGGAAAGGGAAGAAUCAAACAGAGGUUGCGGUGCUGGCUAACAUGAAGCAUCCAGACAUCGUCCAGUACGGGGUGUCCUUCGAGUGAUGCCUGGACUCUGGGCUGCGUCCUUUGCGAGAUGUGCACACUUAAACACGCG